rnacentral:misc_RNA from 1 species
UUUUAAAAUAUAAAACUAUAUAAUUAUUUAUAAAAACUACCGGCAAAUAAUAAUACCAAAUAAUAAAAAUCGUCAAAUAAGUCAAGUAUUUUUAAAAAAACAUUUGAUGCAAUCAUUGAAACAGGUAUUUGGUGAAAAAGGAUCAAAUUGUUGUAUUGAUAUUAU